rnacentral:lncRNA from 1 species
CCGCUUUAACAACUCUACACUUGGUACGCACUGAUUAUUCGAAACCCUACAAGUUACCUGCAUCAUAUUUGGUUGACUUGCCUGCUUUGCGGACUCUGUUACUUGAUGGUUUCGAGUUACCAAGUUCUGUUAGCCUGCCUGCUUUGCAUACUCUCAUACUGCAUAUUGUCGAAUUCCCUGAAAAUAUGAGUGAGUUCUGCCGGGUCUUCCAGGCGCUUGGAAACCUUCAGAAUCUCACAUUAUUUUUCUGGACCACCUUAAGGUGUGAUUGUGUUAUAGAUUGUCCCCAGUUGAUUAACCUGGAAAUCAAUUACUGCACUAGCAAAUCAGGAAAGAGUAUAGUGUCUAGUAAUUCUGGUAAAAUAAUGGUUUUGACUCCGAAUAUCCGCAACUUCAGUUCUGUUGGCAUCUUCCCAAUCGAAUUUGGAGCUUUUGACUUGGAAAAUGUGAAUAUACAAUUACGGGAUAGCGCUGUAAUCAAGACCGUUGCACCAUCUAAGAUGAAGGAAAAUUUUAAGAAUCAGUUUACUGAUAUGUUUUGGGGACUGUCCCGCACAAAAAUUCUUACACUUGACUCGAACAUCAUUGAGGUUGGUUACUUAGUCUAAAAUACUAAUCAUCAGUUUUAAAUUGUUAAUCUUUUGUAUUCCAUCUUACAAGUUACUAAUUAUUCUUUUGUUCUAAUCAUUCUUAUUUUGUUGAUCAUAGGCACUAUCUGCUCUAUCGGACUUUCUUGUUCAGACAUCCUCUCCUUUUAUUAUGUUAGAGUAUGUGAAGGUACCGCAUGGAUAUAAAGAAUCAAGUAUGUCCACAUACCUUAAAUGGUUCCUACUUGGUCGCUGUCGGAAAGCCACUAUUGUCACUACAUUGCCUCAGGUAUCCGGUAAUUUUGUUAGAUCUCUUUAUAUUGUUUCGUAAGCAUAUCUUGUACGUUGCAUUAUUUGACAUUGCGCAGUCAUCGGACAUCCUGACAUGAGUUUUAAAAAACUCAAUUCCUGAAAAGCCUUCUUUGGUAACUAAUUUCUGAUGUAUCCAUGCAAGAUAAAUACCAAAUUCAUCAUUCUGGAUGAUGUCUUUCAAGAUACGAUCUUAAUAUAUUUAUGGCUGUCACUGUGCUCCACUAGUCGAGCAGUCGAGGAUGAGUAGUCGGCUGAACUUGUUGACGGAGAAAAAUGCAUAUUUCUGGCGACUAGUUGCCCAGUCGAUUAGUUGUUUUGGAUGAUCAACCGGUUAUUUUAAAGACCCAAACCUGGUCAAAACACAUGUAAAUCCAUUUCAAACACAUUUUGAUUUCGGUCAGUUCACCGUGGGAUCGUGGUUGUGUUUUCCGGCGACCCAUUGUAAAAUCAGGCAACCUCAUUUUUUUAAAUAAAGAAGCAAGUGAAGAGGAUUACAAUAUACAGAGGGUACAGUGGAGUAAAGAAGAUGAGGAUAUGAAAGAGAAAUUUAGAUGUAGAGGUAGAAGGAACCAAGGAAUUAAUUAGAUUAUGUUGCUUUCAAUUAAAGCAUUUUAGUAGAAAAUAAAAAAUGAUAAUUAAACUUCCAUAGAUAUAUCAUUCAAGUACUUCAAAAAUCGUUGGGUAAUAAUAUUUGACAUUAUUGUAAUUGAUUAUAGGGUUUUAACUUUCAACUGAAAGGGAUGUAAUCUUUUACUUGAUGAUGAUUAGGUUUAAUAAUACAAUUAGCAUUAUACUUGCAAUUACUUGAAGAACUGAAAACGUAUUUUUAGGCAUGCAUAUACAUAUAUUUCAACAUUGAUUAUUGUUAGUUCAUGUUCGAAUAUGUUAAGGGUAAAAAUUGUUCUAACUAAUUAUAGUGUAAGCAUUGUAAAUUUUGUAUAUGAAGGUUCUAUCGUUUUGUCGUGCACACAUUUUUUUCCAAGUUGACGUUCGGCCUGGACACAAACAGGAAGAAUUAACCUCAGAUUGCUAGAUUUUGUUAUAAUACAAAUUAUUGAUUUAGAUCUAGAGACUAGAGUCAUUGAAGUCCGCCCGCUUUGAAUAGGGGUCUCGUUUUGCUAUAAGCUUAGUGAUCUGUGAAUCAAACAGAGCUUGUCACAGGGAAGAGUUGCAUUCAGUAACUGCUUUCAUAUGCACGGUAAAGACAAAAGGAAAUAUAUAAAGGGCUGAAAAUUUUCUUUUGUAUGGAAAUUUCACAUGCACACACAAUUAAACGCACAUGUACAUGCAAACAUGUGAUCGGUGUGAAGUUACUACUAAUGUCAACAUAUCUAAGUAGAUGUAGCAAAAGGAGCUAAACAGAAAAUGUGUUGGGGUGGAAGGAGCUUCAGAGCGGUUGGUUUGCUGGGUUAGGAAGAGAGGACAAUAGUUUCAGUUUUCAGGCUAGUUAAUUCAGUUCUGUUUCAAAGAUAUUUGUUUGAUACCAUAACUUGUUCAAUCAAUGGUAGCUUGCUAGGUUGCUUGCUGCUAUAGUGGUAAUAGCUGAAAGCAGAGAUUCUUUUUCAGCUAUAUAUUAAUAUCGUCUCGUUUCUAGAAUUUGACAACGGUAAGUGAUGGGACUUGUCCAAGUGCUUACAAUGAUUUUGAGUACUGAAUUAAAAUUUAAGUCCAGUUAUUUUGUAAAUUAGUUAAUAUAUUAUAUAUGUGGAAACGUCUGUUUCUAUUAGUUUUAGUUAUAGUUUAAAUAUUAUCAUCCACCAAGCUUCUGUUUUUGGUCAGAAAAUCGAGAUCAAAGAGCCAGCAUCUUCGGCAGCGAAGAAUGUGCCACCACAAGACCCCUUGACAGCUCCAACAAAGGCACGGGCUGGCUCUAAAAAGGUGCAUUCAGAAGUAAAUGCUGACAGGGCGACACAGAUUGGUGUUACAGUGGAAGGGUAGGGCAAUGACGGGGUGACUUCUUCUAGAAGGGAUAGUGAUUUCGGGUUAUGGCAGGGCCAUGAGGUGAACUCUGAGUUUGCACGUCUACUCCAUAACAUUAUGAAUAACUACCCUGAAACCUUUGAGCACUUUACAACCUCAAGAAGUUAUCGACUAUGAAGCUGAAUAUGUUAUGCACCUCAGUGAAUGUGUUUACCAAAAUCUCUAUGACUCAGGUUAAUUCUGAGAUGAUUGCCGAGUACAGGGAUGUAUUUGCCGGCUUGCAGAAAUUCGGGUUCAACGUAAGUUGGCUUGUGAGCCGUCUAAACUAUAUUGAAAAGCUCCAGAAUUCACAACCUCUUUCCGAGCUUCAUGAGAUUGACUGCCAUAUCAAUAGUGCCAAAAGUAAGUUACAAGAUCUAAAGACUCUUCGUAAGAAGAAGAUGCAAGAGAUUCAGAAAGCUUUUGGAACUAUGGGCACAAACCUUGCUGUUGGUUGCAUUGGGGAUGAUCUCCUCCAUGCUCCUAAAUUUAAUGGAAAGUAAUAUAUGUUUGAAGGUUGGUUAACUGUUGCACUGUCUUGUUUAAUGUCUGGUUGUCAAGUCUCCAGUUACUUCUUGACUCCAAACUGAACUGUUUUUGGUGUAUGGUUUCUGCUUAAUUGUCAUGGAAGUCUGUAUGGUUGCUUGGUAUCUUGUACAACUCCAUCACAAAGAAGUGUGCGUGCAUUUACUUUGCCAGAGUAAUGUGGUUCAGUGACAAGUUAUUGUUGAUUUUGUUAGACUAUGCAUUACUAGCAAUAGCAAUUAUUGUUCCUUUUGUCAGAAUUAUACAUUACUAGCGGUAGUUAUAGAAAUUUUAAGAAGAUAUUAUCUAAGCCAUGCCAUUUUGAGCUUGUGCAUCAUACAAGAGCCCUUGACAGCUCCAACCAAGUUUUGAUACUGUUUACUCGGGUUCUCCAAAAUUUGAUAGGUGAUAGGGGUGUAAGGUUUGAGGAAUGGAGGUGGAAGUUUGAUUGCGAGAGAUGAAGGAUGAUCAAGCAUUUGAAUUCAAAUUUGUCAUUUUUUUGUAAAUUGUCAAAAGGAUCAUAAGUUCGAAUAUGCUCUCUGAAAAGACUUAAAUUGGAUGCAUAGCUGUAAUUAUAUAAAUAAGAAAAUUUCAUUAAAAUCUUUUUUUUUAGGAUGGCUUGUAAGUUUUUAACUAAGAAGGUUUCAUUUACUUGCUUCAACGGUUUUCUAAAAUGUCACUAUUUAGCAAAAAAAAACCUCUAUUAUUAUUUUGUGACCGCAAUUGUCACUUCAAAGCGUAAUUUCAUGUUGUGUUAAGAAAAACGCAACUUCAAAUUAACUUCAAAUUGUGUUUUUGAAAAAAAAUCAAAAUCCAACUUCAAGUUAAGUUCGUGUUUUGAAAUGACAGUUUAAUCAUUUUUCCGAAAAUGACAUUGACACCAUAUAGUAAAUAUAGUGACUUUUGUCUCGGUAAGAUAUUAUGAAAUUAGGGCAAACUUGAAAUGAAAAUGGAUGGUAAAAUGAGUAAAAAAGCUAGAAAUGAUGACAAGAUUGGAGGUGUAGACAGGAUCAGCAGUUUGCCGGAUCAACUACUUCAUCACGUCCUCUCCUUUUCGGAUGCGCGAUUGGCGGUUCAAACCAGCGUUCUCUCGAAACGAUGGAAGCUUAUUUGGACUACUCUCCCUGUUCUCAAUUUCACUUGGUCUAGUAAAAACACUGACUUUACUUUUAGUUCUGGUAUUAAGUUCAUUGACAAUAUCUUCUCUCGUCGAAACAAUACUUCUGAUGUAUUGAAACUCAAUCUUUUUUUCUUUUAUGAAUCCCCGCAAUAUAGGACUCCUUUGGUUGACAAGUGUACUAAUUAUGCAAUUUCACAUAAUGCUCGUGAAGUAAAUGUAGAUGUCCUUGGGGCUGAUUAUACUGUGACUAUGAAAUUAAUAGGACUGCAUGCCAUCGUAUUGAAUUUGAAGCUACCCUUUGAUCUGUACCUGAAAGAAUUAGAUUCUUGUUGGCCUUUACCCGCUUUAACAACUCUAUGCUUGGUACGCCCUGAUUAUUUGAAACCCUACAAGUUACCUGCAUUAUAUUUGUUUGACUUGUUUGCUUUGCGGACUCUGUUACUUGAUGGUUUCGAGUUACCAAGUUCUGUUAGCUUGCCUGCUUUGCGAACUCUCAUACUGCAUAUUGUCGAAUUCCCUGAAAAUAUGAGUGACUUCUGCCGGAUCUUCC